CUUGCCCGGACUCAUCUGGGACCUGGGCCAGCAGCUGGGAGACCUGAGCCUGGAGUCUGGGGGCCUGGAACAGGAAAGUGGGCGCAGCUCAGGCUUCUAUGAAGACCCCAGCUCCACAGGAGGUCCUGACUCGCCACCCUCGACCUUCUGUGGGGACAGUGGCUUCUCUGGAUCUGGCUCCUAUGGACGCCUGGGUCCCUCUGAACCCCGGGGCAUCUAUGCCAGUGAGAGGCCCAAGUCCCUAGGAGACGCCAGUCCCAGCGCCCCCGAGGCGGCGGGAGCCCGGGCACCAGUCCCGCGGUCCUUCUCGGCCCCUUAUCCGACGGCAGCGGGGUCUGGGGGCCCGGAGGCCUGCUCCUCGGCGGAGCGGCGGUCCCGCGCGGGGCCCUUCCUGACGCCCAGCCCCCUGCACGCCGUGGGGCUGCGCAGCCCGCGGCCCUGCGG